GGGGGUGGGGGGGAGCUGGCUACGGGUACUCUUUGUCACACUCAUGGGAUUGCGUGCUUUGUGUUUAUUUCCCUUGAAAAUUUUUUUAAGGAUCUCAUCUAAUAAACAAAGAUAAAAAUAUGUGCAAGAAAGGGUUAAAAAAAAAGAGCUGGUUAGAUUUGUUACUGCAGAGAGCUGAAUAAGGUCUCUCACAGCCUCAUCACUUUCCUUCCCAGAACCUCCGAAUGCGGCCGUAUUUGGAAAGAGGGUCAUUGUGGAUGCAGUGAGUUAAGAUGAGGUCAUUCUGGAACAGGGUGGUCCUCAGUUCAGUGUGACUGGUGUCUUUAUAGGGAGAGACACAAAGACACAGAGAGAGAGAGAAAGGCCGUGUGAGGACGGGAGCCGAGACGGCAGUGACACAGGAUCGCAGGUGCACCCGGGAGCUGGGAGGAGGCCUGGGACACAUUCUCCCCAGAGCCAUCAGCAUCGGCACAGCCCCAUCAACACCGUGGCUUUGGACUUUCAGCGUCCAGAAUUGUGAGAAAGAAGUCAGCAGGGUUAAGUGAGGUCAUAAGGACGAGCCCUAAGCUGGCAGAACCAGGAUCCUCAUAAGUGAAGCGCUGAGAGAAGGAUGCAUGGAGACCCAGCAAGAAGGUGUCGUGUGCAAGGCCGGCAGGCAGGCAGCCCUCCAGAACCCAGCCCCGCGGCCCCCGGACCGUGAGAAGUGCCAGCAUCCCAUCCCAUAUGGGCACCAGUUAGAGACCUGGCUGCUCCACUUCAAUCCAACUCUCUGCUAUGGCCUGGGACCCACGUGGGAGACCUGGAAGAAGCUCCUGGCUCCUGGCUUCAGAUUGGCACAGCUCCAGCCAUUGCAGCCAUUUGGGGAGUGAACCAGCUGAUGGAAGACCUCUCUCUCUCUCUCUCUCUGCCUCUCCUUCUCUCCCUGUGUAACUCUGACUUUCAAAUAAAUAAAUAAAUCUUUAAAAAAAAUUGGGGGACCCGAGCACCUGUGACUUAAGAAAUGGAGUAAGUACCAAACAGAGGACGGGGCAGCACAGAACUGAUGACACGUGGUCCCGGGACAAGGCCGGGGAUCAAGGGGAGUGGGGUGAGCGCAGCACUGAAGGGGGAUUUUUUAAAAUAUUUUAACUGACUUUAU